CCUACGGGAGGCAGCAGUAGGGAAUCUUCCACAAUGGACGAAAGUCUGAUGGAGCAACGCCGCGUGAGUGAAGAAGGGUUUCGGCUCGUAAAGCUCUGUUGGUAGUGAAGAAAGAUAGAGGUAGUAACUGGCCUUUAUUUGACGGUAAUUACUUAGAAAGUCACGGCUAACUACGUGCCAGCAGCCGCGGUAAUACGUAGGUGGCAAGCGUUGUCCGGAUUUAUUGGGCGUAAAGCGAGUGCAGGCGGUUCAAUAAGUCUGAUGUGAAAGCCUUCGGCUCAACCGGAGAAUUGCAUCAGAAACUGUUGAACUGGAGUGCAGAAGAGGAGAGUGGAACUCCAUGUGUAGCGGUGAAAUGCGUAGAUAUAAGGAAGAACACCAGUGGCGAAGGCGGAUUACUGGACGAUAACUGACGGUGAGGCGCGAAAGCGUGGGGAGCAAACAGGAUUAGAUACCCUUGUAGUC
rnacentral:rRNA from 1 species